CAUGGAACUGUGAGUCCAUUAAAUCUCUUUUUCUUUAUAAAUUACCCAGUCUCGGGUACGUCUCUAUCAGCAGUGUGAAAACAGACUAAUACACACCCCCACCUCAAAGCACCUGUCUCCUAUGAAAGUAAAUCUUGUAUCUACUAAAAUGGAGUAAGAAAAGAGUAAGACAGGAAUGCCUGUUUUAAUCUUCAGAUACUUGCUAUCUAAAAUUGACUUCAAAUAAGGCAAGAUACCAGCAAUAUUAUCAAUGGAAAAGAAAACUUACCCCUGUGUUAAUCAACAUCCAACCAGAACAGAAAUAGCUUUAGGUAUGUCAAACAGGGAAUUUAAAGGAAAUUGCUUAUAAAGCUCUUGAAAUGUCCAGAAGCGCAAAAGGAACAAUUUGACCAUAAGCCCUACAUUAUCAUUCAUAAUUACAUCCCCAGUGCCUAGCACAAUACCUGGCAAGGGUUCAAUAAAUAUUUAUUUAUUGAAUCUAUGAUUACACUUGUGGGUGAGAUUUUGUCUGUCAACCUAGGAAGGCCACUAGUUCUAUUGGAAAGCAUACCUUCAAGCAGCUAUAUGACUCUGAUAAUUCAGUGAAUGUGCAUGUGUGGUUUGGCCUUCAGUAGGAAAUCAUGUGCAAAGCCUUCUGUUCAAAACCUCUCAAUGGAUAAUAUUUACUGAGCAUGUAUUAGGCUCUAGUUACUAUUCUAUGCACUUUUUAAGCAUUUUGCAAUAUUAACAUUUAUAAUAACUCUAUGAUAAUGUGUUCAUUACUCCUCAUUUAUAGAUGACGAUGAAACUGAGGAAAAGAGUAACAUGCCUAAGAUCAUAAAACAAGGAAAUAGUAGAGCCAAGCUUUCACUACACAGUCUGGCUCUAGAAGCUAUGCUCUUAAUUUCCACAACAUAUGCCUCUCCACAGCUCAUUUGAUGAAGGCUUAGCCCACUUUCCCACUUUUGUUUUCUAUUUUCCCCACAGUUCUCUGGGGACAGACACCAGUCAGCUGUUUCCCCAGGCUUGUGUUUUCUUUUCUUUCUAGGCCCACAGCAGACUGUAUUUUCCAGUCCUCCCUCCAGGUUAUUGUACCAGGGUGGCAGAAUUUUAGACAGAAGAAUGGGAGCAGAGGUGAUAUGCAUCCCUUCUAGGCCUGACCCAUUAAGCCUUUCACAUGUGGUGGCUGUAUAUUCUUUCUUGUUCUUCCAGUUUGAGGAAGCAGGAGAACUGACUAAUACAGUGAGCAUGGAAAACUUGGAUGCCACAUGUAGAAGAGUUGGAGCCACAAAAUAGAAGAAAGCUGGAUCCCUGAAUAUUGCUUGGAAAAAAGAGUUGAGAACCAAUCAGGAACAUCUGUGUUAGACUUUAAGUGAACAAGAGAUAAGCUUCUAUCAACUUUGUGCCAUUAUAUGUGUUGGAGUUGUUUUGUUACAGCUCCUAUAGAUAUGUAAAUUGAUCUACCUACUGUCCUUUGAAAAUGCCUUUCCCUUAGAAUUCUCAUUCUCUCCUUCAGUUACUCACAUCCAAAAAUUAUUCAAGGCCUAAACCAAGUCCAAUCACCUUCAAGCGGCUUUCUUCCACUCCCACCCACCAUAGAGAUCUCUCUUUCCCUCACCUUCCUGUAGCACUUUGUUAUGUAUACCUCUCAUGUGCACUUACCCCAGCUCAAAUUCUGGAUGUCUUGAUUCCCUAUGAGAUUGUGAGCUCUUCAAGGUAAGGAUCAUGGCUUUGUGCUUCCUUCUUUUGUGACUCUGAAGUGCAUAACAUGGUGAUGUGCCUUGGGAAUUUUCAAUAAAUAUUCAUGGGAAAAAUGAACAUAUCAAUGUAUUAAGCUCAAUGAAGUCCAUUUUCCUAAAAACA